rnacentral:misc_RNA from 1 species
AACGCACCUUGCGCUCCUCGGUAUUCCGUGGAGCAUGCCUGUUUGAGUGUCAUGAAAUCCUCAAUCCCCCAUCCCUUGCGGAGGGCGGGCUUGGACUUGGAGGCUUGCCGGCCGUGAGGUCGGCUCCUCUCAAACGCAUUAGCUCGGUUCCUUGCGGAUCGGCUCCCGACGUGAUAAUUGUCUACGUCGCGACCGUGAAGCGUCUGGCGAGCUUCCAACCGUCCUUCGGGACAGCUUUCUUGAUCUGACCUCAAAUCAGGUAGGACUACCCGCUGAACUUAA